rnacentral:rRNA from 1 species
AGUAACGGCGAGUGAAGCGGUAACAGCUCAAAUUUGAAAUCUGACCUUCACGGGUCCGAGUUGUAAUUUGUAGAGGAUGUUUCGGAUAAGGCUUUGGUUUAAGUUUCUUGGAACAGAACGUCAUAGAGGGUGAGAGUCCCGUCUAGAACCGAUAGCCGCGUUCAUGUGAAACUCCUUCGACGAGUCGAGUUGUUUGGGAAUGCAGCUCAAAAUGGGUGGUAAAUUUCAUCUAAAGCUAAAUAUUGGCCAGAGACCGAUAGCGCACAAGUAGAGUGAUCGAAAGAUGAAAAGCACUUUGAAAAGAGAGUUAAACAGUAUGUGAAAUUGUUGAAAGGGAAGCGCUUGCAACCAGACUUGUGUUUAACGGUUCCCCUGUGUCUUUUGACCAGGCUAUUCCGUUAUAUCCAGGCCAGCAUCGGUUCGGGUGGUUGGUUAAAGGCCUUGGGAAUGUAUCUACCUUCG